rnacentral:tRNA from 1 species
GGGGUCGUAGGGUAGCCUGGCCUAUCCUAUUGCGUUCGGGACGCAGUGACCUGAGUUCGAAUCUCAGCGACCCCA